rnacentral:rRNA from 1 species
CAGUCGCCACGGUAAUACGAAGGGGGCUAGCGUUGCUCGGAAUGACUGGGCGUAAAGGGCGCGUAGGCGGAUUGUUUAGUUAGGCGUGAAAUUCCUGGGCUUAACCUGGGGACUGCGCUUAAUACAGGCAGUCUAGAGUGAGGAAGAGGGUUGUGGAAUUCCCAGUGUAGAGGUGAAAUUCGUAGAUAUUGGGAAGAACGCCGGUGGCGAAGGCGGCAACCUGGUCCUUGACUGACGCUGAGGCGCGAAAGCGUGGGGAGCAAACAGGAUUAGAUACCCCUGUAGUCCCUGUCUCUUAUAA